rnacentral:tRNA from 1 species
GGAUUAUGAAACCCGAGAACAAGCUUCUAACUUAGUUCUUAAGCGAUGAAAUUUCGUUUAUAAUCCU